rnacentral:rRNA from 1 species
UACGAAGGGUGCAAGCGUUACUCGGAAUCAUUGGGCGUAAAGGGCGCGUAGGUGGCCCGGUCAGUUCGUGGUGAAAGCGCGGGGCUCAACCCUGCGUCGGCCAUGAAUACUGCCGCGGCUGGAGCACUGUAGAGGCAGGCGGAAUUCCGGGUGUAGCGGUGGAAUGCGUAGAGAUCCGGAAGAACACCGGUGGCGAAGGCGGCCUGCUGGGCAGUUGCUGACACUGAGGCGCGACAGCGUGGGGAGCAAACAGG